rnacentral:rRNA from 1 species
GGACGAACGCUGGCGGCGUGCUUAACACAUGCAAGUCGAACGCUGAAGCACCAGCUUGCUGGUGUGGAUGAGUGGCGAACGGGUGAGUAAUACGUGAGUAACCUGCCCUUGACUCUGGGAUAAGCCCGGGAAACUGGGUCUAAUACUGGAUGCUACAUGUCACCGCAUGGUGGUGUGUGGAAAGGGUUUACUGGUCUUGGAUGGGCUCACGGCCUAUCAGCUUGUUGGUGAGGUAAUGGCUCACCAAGGCGACGACGGGUAGCCGGCCUGAGAGGGUGACCGGCCACACUGGGACUGAGACACGGCCCAGACUCCUACGGGAGGCAGCAGUGGGGAAUAUUGCACAAUGGGCGAAAGCCUGAUGCAGCGGCGCCGCGUGAGGGAUGACGGCCUUCGGGUUGUAAACCUCUUUCAGCAGGGAAGAAGCCACAAGUGACGGUACCUGCAGAAGAAGCGCCGGCUAACUACGUG